rnacentral:rRNA from 1 species
AGUGAACGCUGGCGGUAGGCCUAACACAUGCAAGUCGAACGGCAGCACAGUAAGAGCUUGCUCUUACGGGUGGCGAGUGGCGGACGGGUGAGGAAUACAUCGGAAUCUACUUUUUCGUGGGGGAUAACGUAGGGAAACUUACGCUAAUACCGCAUACGACCUGCGGGUGAAAGCAGGGGAUCUUCGGACCUUGCGCGAUUGAAUGAGCCGAUGUCGGAUUAGCUAGUUGGCGGGGUAAAGGCCCACCAAGGCGACGAUCCGUAGCUGGUCUGAGAGGAUGAUCAGCCACACUGGAACUGAGACACGGUCCAGACUCCUACGGGAGGCAGCAGUGGGGAAUAUUGGACAAUGGGCGCAAGCCUGAUCCAGCCAUACCGCGUGGGUGAAGAAGGCCUUCGGGUUGUAAAGCCCUUUUGUUGGGAAAGAAAAGCAGCAGGUUAAUACCCCGCUGUUCUGACGUUACCCAAAGAAUAAGCACCGGCUAACUUCGUG